rnacentral:rRNA from 1 species
UUAGAGUGAUUGGAAAUUAAUUUUUGGUUUGUUUUAAUUUUAUUUGGAAUUUUUUUUUUGGAAUUUUAGUUGGAUAAAAUUUUCUGAAAUUAUUAUCUUUCAAUUAGUAGAAGAGGAACUUAUACUAAGGAACUCGGCAAAAAGAAUUGAUCCUGCCUGUUUAAUAAAAACAUCGCUUCAUUAUUAGAAUAUGAGGUAGUACCUGCUCAAUGCGAAAGUAAAUAGCCGCAGUAUUCUGACUGUGCGAAGGUAGCAUAAUAAGUUGGCCUUUAAUUGAGGUCUAGAAUGAAUGGUUUGACAAGGGUUUAUCUGUCUCGGUAUAUAAUAAUUUUUGAAAUUUAAUUGUCUGUAAAAAUGCUGACAUAUAAGAGAGGGACGAGAAGACCCUAUAGAUCUUUAAUGUAUUAAGAGUAAUUUUACUUUGUAAUAUUUUUUGUUUGGGGAAAAUCUUGAAAUUUUUAAACUUCGGUUAAAGAGAAAAUUUAAAAAUUGACUUUUGAUCCACUUUAGUGAAAAAAUGAAAAAGUUACCUUAGGGAUAACAGGACAAUGACUUCCUUAAAGAUCUUAUUUUUGGAAGCGUUUGUUACCUCGAUGUUGAAUUAAGCUAUCUCGUUAAAGAAGGAAUUCUUGAAGUUGGUCUGUUCGACCAUUGAAAGCUUACAUGAUUUGAGUUUAGACCGACGUGAGUCAGGUCAGAUUCUAUCUUCUCUAAAAUAUUUUAUUUCUUUGUACGAAAGGAUCAGAAAUAUUAUUUGUUGGAAUAAUUUUUUAUAAAAUAAAAUUA